ensembl:lncRNA
CCAAAUAAAAACAUGCAAUCCAAUAUAACAAUAUGCAACUAAAUGAAAACAGUUCUAUGCAGAAAAGGCAAUAACAGUGUUUACAGGAGGAGAGUUGCAGCCAAAUCACCCAAUAGAGUAGCGCAGGGACGAUGUCAUUUUGUACCGGAACCCGGAAGUUAGCAUCACACCGGUUCCCUCGACAAAAACCCAAUAGGAUUUUCCCAUAGGCUUUUGAAUUAUUGCAAAAAAAAAAGCUCUGUGAUCAACAAAAGUUUACAAUACUAACACAUUUUGUGCAUCAAGAUAAUUUUCACAAAUGAACACAACUUUUAUGAAGUUUGAAGCCUAAAUACAAUCGCCAGAAAUAAAAAGCUAACCGUAUGCUAUAAACGAACUACACCACGGUCGCUCGACUUCGUCAUCAUCAUCAAGCUUCCGACGGCUUUUACAAACUUGAUUUAAAAUAUUUUUCAUAAUAUGGAUUUACUCUGUGGAUGAAUCUUCAUCCACCUUUUUUGGGGGGAAUUGUGAGAACCAGUUUCAGGGCUCUAUGGUAACAAUUUCUUUUAGGAGCACUUUCAAAAAUUUUGGAGCACGGUUGAAGUUUAGGCUUUUUAAAAAAAUUUUUUUAUUUUAUUUUAUUAUUUUUUUUAGAGAUGAUAACAUUAAUGUGCCACAAUAUAACACAAGUAGGCAUGAGAAAACUUGAGCUGGUCAAUUAUGGUGGAAUUUAGGAACAGAGUGUGAGCCAGGACACAUUAAUUUACCUUCUGAUAAACUAUAUGUAAUAUUUUCCAUUAAUUUUACAGGCUGUAUGCAAACAACAACCGUUAACCUGUUCCACCUUGUAAACAAAUACAAUAAACCUCAAUGUUCAGUCUUUGAAAUCUGCUCCUCUUAAAUAUAUUUAAAGCUACACUAUUAGUCAUUUUCCGCUGUCAUUGUUCUGGGUUGGAGCCAGUUCUCGAACUGCUCUGUGUAUAUUGUGUAUAUAUCUGAAUAAUCUCAUAUAGGACGUGAUUGGGUGAGUUCAUUUACCUGUCGGAUGCAAAGCGCUUUAGUUUAAUGGUGUUCAUUAGGGAUGCACCGAUCAGGAUUUUUACGACUGAAACCGAUCCAGAUACCAAUCUUUUUUUGUUUAAACUUUAAUCAGGAGGUCUGUCUUAAACAGUUAAAUGUAAACUCGCUGCACACGGUCACUGUUAAUUGAGUUAAAAUAAUAGCAAUGAGAAAUACUGUUGGUUAAUUGAUGAAUAAACAAGCAUAAAAUAUUUUAUUUUUAAAUAUCUUAAACAAUAAAGAGUCCUAAUUAACAGUAGACUAACACAAAAAUGAUCCAUAUUAGCAAAAAGGCUAAUAACCUUCUAAGGAAAUAACGAACUAAGCUUAAUGUCUACUUGACAUUAAAUGCAACCCAUAGUAAUGAAACAUUAUUUUAUUUCUAAUUUUAUUAAUAUUUUAUGAAGUUAUUAUAAUAUCUUUUAUUUUAAAUGAUUUAUUUAUAACUAAGCACAUUUUCUGUCUUUAAAUUUUAGUAGUUUUAUUUUUGUUUUUCAGUUUUAGAUCGGUUCCCCAAGUAUAGUGUUGCCAUGUUUGCUAAUAAUAUUGCGUUUUUUGCGGGAUUAAAUCAAAACAUGGAAACUGAAAUGGACUUUUUCUAGUGAUAUCAGGGCAACCCUGAGUUUAAAUGAAGUGAAUGCGCUAUUAGAGUUAGUAAAUGAGAGCAGCAGCGUACGGUAUGUUUACCGACUGAACAGGUCUUACUCUUGAUUAUGAUUGGUGAGGAAUUAUUUAAUAAAGAAGUUUGAAUUAAAACCCACCUUGUAGCGUUAGCAUUAUUAUUCAUUAAAAGAAAAAAAAAACACUCCCCGGUGCUGCUGAGUCUACACGAGCAGGUCACAGUCGCAGGUUCAUGUCAUUUUGCGUGAUCAAUAAAACAUGGCGGUUUGUGAGAUCGGCAGGUUGGGAGAAGCAGAUGAUGUGCAGUGUUACUCUUUUCAUCGUAAUGGGUUCUCUGCAGUAUUUACACACUUGUUCGUUUCACUGAGGUGAUGAAAAGCAGUGUGAAAGUAACUGUUGUGCGCUGUAGAUGCAUUUUGGACUUCCUGUAGUUUUUAUUCCGAUUGUAUUACACAACCCCGAACAGGUCACUUGCACCGGUGCGACUAUAUAUUUAUUCACAGUCUCACAAAGUACUUUUCAGUCGCAAAUGCGAGUGAAAUGGUCGCACUGUAAAGUCCUGAGUUUAUCUGCUUUAUUUGCUAGCAAACACGGCUAAUUUUAUUAUUUACACAGUGCGUAACAUUAGCAAACAGGAAAUCUUCAAAGAUUAAGGUAAAGCAUUUAGGUUAAAUGAAGUGUCUCUAACCUUUGUGUAUUCUGAUGUAUUAUAGUUAAUAGUAUUAACUGUCACACAUACAACAUUACUUAUGGGAGCACCAUGUUGACAAUAUUACUGUUUAAAAAAAAUACAGUGGCAUCAGCAUUUAGUAUCGCGAUACUACAGUGGUACCCGUAUACCGUGCAACUCUACUAGGCCACUACAAAACAUUUCAUUUAGCUUUUUUUAACUAUUCAGAGGUGCAUUUACUCCUUCGCUUUGGAUCAUUCCCUUGCUACAUAAUCCAGUUGCGCCCUCAAUUACUGCAAGUUGCCCAGGCCCUGAAGCAGCAACGCAUUCCCACACCAUCACACUUCCACCACCAUGCUUAACCGUAGGUAUGAUUUUCUUUUUGUGGAAUUCUGUGUUUGGUUUAGGCCAGAUGUAACAGGGCUCCUGUCUUCCAAACAGUUCCACUUUUGACUCCUCAGUCCACAGAACAUUCUCCCAAAAGGUUUGAGGAUCACCAAGGUGUGUUUUGGGAAAAUUCAGAUGAGCCUUAAUGUUCUUCUGGUUAACAGUGGUUUUCACCUCUCCACUCUUCUGUGGAGGCCAUUUUUGUCCAGUGUCUUUUUGAUAGUGGCGUCAUGAACAGUGACCUUCAUUGAUGCAAGAGAGGCCUGUAGUUCCUUUUGAUGUUGUCCUUGGCUCUUUUGUGACUUCCUGGUUGAAUCGUUGCUGUGCUCUUGGAGGAAUUUUGGAAGGUCGGCCACUUCUGGGAAGGUUCGCUACUGUGCCAAGUUUUUAAUUUAGGAAAUAAUGGCUCUCGCUGUGGUUCUUUGGAGUCCCAGAGUCUUUAAAAUAGCUUUGUAACCCUUCCAAGACUGAUAUAUUUCAAUCACCUUAUUCCUUGUCAUUUCUGGAAUUUCUUUCAAUUUUGGCAUAAUGUGAUACUGCGUAAGACUUUUUAACCAACUUCAUGCUGUUGAAAAAGUUUUAUUUAAGUGUUAAUUUGAUUGAUCAGAUUUUGCAGUAAUUAGACCUGGUUAGUAGUUGUCUGGUUGUCUAGUCUAGCUGAACCCCAUUAUGAAUGCAGUUUCAUAGAUUUGGGUAAUUAGUAACUAUGGGUGCAAAUACAUUUUUACACUGGCCCAGUUGGUAUUGGAUAACUUUUUUGCUUUAAUAAGUAACAAUAUUAUUUAAAAACUGUAUUUACUCAGGUGAAGUAAAGUGUCACUUUUGAAAAUAAGUAAAAUAACAAAAAUAAAUAAGAAAUCUCCCAUCUGAACAAAAGAGAUUUUGGGGGGCAGGACAUGCUGUGGCUUUGUUUGGGACUAUUUUCGUUGGUGAAAUAGAAUAAAAACAGACAAUGUUGAGUCUAAAGUCAAUUAAUAGUAACUUUUUGUUUACAUGUUAGCAUUAAGUUAAGUUAGCUACUAAAUGAAAAAUAAUCUCAGCUGUGUGAGCUUUUAAAAUAAUGUCAUGAUAAUUAACAUAUACUGUAACUAUGUUUCCAUUCACGUAUUUUAAUGCAAAUUUUGGGAUAUCACGUAAAAGAACGCUGGAUAGAAACACCAGAUGCGAAUAAAAUCUCCAAAAUGCACAUAAAAAAAAACUUGGGCGUUCAAUUGAGCUGGAUAAUAUUUUUGUUUGAGAAGAAGACAUACUCUUAUAAAAAAAAAAAAAAAAAAAACGAUGCAAAUGUAUGCAAAU